rnacentral:lncRNA from 1 species
CAGUGAGCCGAGAUCAUGCCACUGCACUCCAGCACAGGCAACACAGCGAGACUCCGUCUCAAAAAAAAAAAAAAAAAAAAAUUAAUUCAGCUUUACUGUAAGUCUGAAAACAUUCAUAAUAAAAUGUUGGGGGGGAAAAGAUUCAUUCUGAUUGAUGGUGUGAGAAGAGGCUGAAGGGGUCAAAGGUAGAGCAGGGAGAACGGAUGUGGAGGCUAAUAGGAUAAUCCAGGGGAAAGCUGGUGGCUUGGAGAUAGCGGUGGUACUGGAGGUGGAGACAGGGUUUUGAGUCUGCUGUUGUUUGGAGGGACAGCCAGGAGGAUUUCAUAGCAGAUUGGUUGCAGGGUAUGAGAAAGAGAGGGGUCAAGCUUGACAUCAAGUUCUUUGGCCUGGACAGAUGUAGUUACCCGUCCUAGACAAUGGCCAGGCUGCUGUAUUCCAUGCUUCGAUUUUAGAAGGGCCCUUGCCCCACUGUAAAGCAGGUGAAUGUGUCUCUGUGUCCUCCUUUCCCAAGGACUUUCCUUGUCCUCCCCAGACCCAGGCUGUCACCCUGUGUGGCUUCUCCUAGCCUGACCCCUUUAUGAUGCUCAUUGCAUGCUUCCAUCCAAGCCUUGGUAUUGCUAUGGAGUAGAAAUAGAGCUAAACUUGGAGUCAGAAGACCAUGCCUCAGAUACAUUGCCGAACUUUUCAGAAUCCCAGUUUUCUCUUUCAUAAAACAAAGCUAAAAAUGCCCAUCAAGAGUAUGGUGGAAGUGAGAAAACAAGUGAUUGAACAUUGAACUUGAAGAGAAUCUUGUGCAUUUACUCUUUCCUGCUCUGUUUUCUUCACAUGUCAUUCCCCACUGAAAUUUGCCCAUUUUGGAUCUCAUUACCCUGAAGGUCCUGGAUUUGUUGGAAAGUUCCGUGUAAUUCCUGGAGUUCUAUGGUGACGUUGUCAAGUACAAAGCGCUGGCCUAGGAGCUACGACAUGGGAGUUCCAAGCCUGCUCUUUCUCGCACGAGCUGAAACCAUUCAAUUGGAAUAGAAAUCAAGGGAUCAUUAAAUUCAUCCUUCUGCAUUCAGGGGUGAAUAGAAGAAGAUCAAGAGGCAGUGAUGUGUCAUUAUGAUCUCCAUUUCAUACACAAAGAACGGAGCUUCACAGUGGUUAAGUAACUUGGCUGAACUUACACCAGCAUGAAGAUUCAAAUUCCAGUCCAAAACUUAUGGAAAUAUCUAUUAGAGAAGCCUGUAUUAGUUCUCUACCAGAUAUAUUUUCCUAGAUUCAGAAAAGCCUGAAUUUGCAAAAAGUUUGUUUCGAUCAUCAUAGGCAAGGUGAAAUAGAAAGUCGAAGAAAUCAUCUCGGUCAUUACGAGUCCUCAAGUAGUUGCUUUUUGUACUUUGAAUAAAGACUUUAGUCAUAGUAGGAGAGAUAGACUGUAAUGGACUUACUUCACGAUGGCUGCACCAGAGGUUCCAAGAACGAUGGCUUUCAACUUCAACCCACAUCUAAAACACACCACUGUAGCCACACCCUACACCCUGUGGUUAUCCAGUUGUGAGUCCUAUUGGAGAGAUGAGAUUUAACUAGAUGACCAUGACCAUGAAGAACUUCUCAAGCUCUUUGGUUCUACAGGUGUAUGACAGUUUCCUGGAGGGGGUCAUAUGGAUCUACUACUACCUUCCCACUGACAUUAGGCAGAUGUUCAUUAGAUUGGUUUGAUAGAUGUAAUGGUUAAUAUUGAGUGUCAACUUGAUUGGAUUGAAGGAUGCAAAGUAUUGUUCCUGGGUGCGUCUGUGAGGGUGUUGCCAAAGGAGAUUAACAUUUGAAUCAUUGGACUGGGAGAGGCAGACCCACCCUCAAUCUGGGUGGGCACAAUCUAAUCAGCUGCCAGCAUGGCCAGCAUAAAAGCAGGCAGAAGAAUGUGGAAGGAGUAGACUGGCUCAGUCUCCUGGCCUACAUCUUUCUCCCACGCUGCAUGCUUCCUGCCCUCGAACAUUGGACUCCAAGUUCUUCAGUUUUGGGACUCUUGAACCUUUGACCACAGACUGAAGGCUACACUGUUGACUUCCCUACUUUUGAGCUUUUAGGACUCGGACUGGCUUCCUUGUUCCUCAGCUUGCAGACGGCCUAUUGUGGGACCUCACUUUGUGAUCAUGUGAGUCAAUACUCCUUAAUAAACUCUCCUUUAAAUAUACAUCUAUCUUGUUAGUUCUGUCCCUCUAGAGAACCUUGACUAAUACGAUAGGGAAGCCAUAGUGACUGUCACUAAUAUUCUAAUAAAAGAAUUAUUAUCUAUGCCAACUCUGGAGAGCCACAGGUAAGCUAUACAUAGAUCAAAGUGUAAACCAGGGGUUCUCUGAGUGUGAUUCCUGGACCAGCAGUAUGUGGUGACAUUUGAAAUGCAAAUUCUUGGGCCCCACCUCAGACCACUGAAUUAGAAACUCCAGAGGUGGAGCUCAGCAGUUUGUUUUAACUAGUUCUCCAGGUGAUGCUGAGGCACAUCACAGUUGGAAAUGGUGAGGUAAGUAAGGAAUUUCAGCAGUUCAACUGCUGAAAUGUAGAUCUUAACAAAGUGCUAAAUGAAUAGAGGAAAAAGGGAUAAUUAUCUGAGACAUUUGGAUCUUGUUUCACGAAUAGGAGUUCAGAUGAAGUUAGGGAGGUCUUUUGAAGUAUAGGAAACAAGACAUGCAAAGACUGGGGAGGUUAGGAAGACCAGACCUAUUUCAAGAUAUACAAUGGCCUAGUGGGGCUUGAGGUAGCAGGGUGCAUUCUUUUUCUUAGAUAUGCUUCCUCCUCUCUGCUCCAUGGUGCCACACAUGAUGCUGGUGAUAAAGGAGACUGAGCGAGGGUAAAGAUUCACAGUGCCAGCAAGGGCUUGGACAUUGGCAGCCUAUGGAUCAAAUUGUGCUUGCAGAUGGGCUGUAUUUGGUAUUUUAUUGUACAAACACUAUGUAUUUGGCAUAGCAUUAUACAAAUAAAUGUGAACUAACAUUUAAUAAUCAGUUUGGAUGUAUAUAUGUGUAUAUAUAUUAUGUAUAAAUAACAUAUAUGCUAACACAAAAAUAUAUGUGCUAUAUUUAUAUUCUAUACAAAUAACAUAUAAAUAUAUGUUAACAUAUAAAAAUAUAUG